rnacentral:rRNA from 1 species
ACGAAGGGGGCUAGCGUUGCUCGGAAUCACUGGGCGUAAAGCGCACGUAGGCGGCUUCUUAAGUCAGGGGUGAAAUCCUGGAGCUCAACUCCAGAACUGCCUUUGAUACUGAGGAGCUCGAGUCCGGGAGAGGUGAGUGGAACUGCGAGUGUAGAGGUGAAAUUCGUAGAUAUUCGCAAGAACACCAGUGGCGAAGGCGGCUCACUGGGCCGACACUGACGCUGAGGCGCGAAAGCUAGGGGAGCGAACGGGA